UGGCGGACGGGUGAGUAACGCGUGGAAAACCUGCCGUAUACUGGGGGAUAACACUUAGAAAUAGGUGCUAAUACCGCAUAAGCGCACAGCUUCGCAUGAAGCGGUGUGAAAAACUCUGGUGGUAUACGAUGGUUCCGCGUCUGAUUAGCUAGUUGGUGGGGUAAUGGCCUACCAAGGCAACGAUCAGUAGCCGGCCUGAGAGGGUGAACGGCCACAUUGGGACUGAGACACGGCCCUAACUCCUACGGGAGGCAGCAG
rnacentral:rRNA from 1 species